UGCACGGUAGCUCAGUUGGAAGAGCAUUGGCCCGGAAAGCCAAAGGUUCAGGCCCCUGCUGCGUUAAGCAU